AGUGGUUCUCGGGUGACACACCCCAGAGCCAGAGGAGGGAGCCUGAUUCCGGGGUGCGUCACCCAAGAACCGCC
rfam:Myotis davidii contig31266, whole genome shotgun sequence.